AAACACUACGCAUGCGCAUGUCAAUAAAGGUGUCAAAUCGAUCAUAAACAUCGAUUCUGUUAACAAGCGUGAGGCGAAUCAGCCGCGACGUAAAACAACGAGCAGCGUGAAAGACACACACACGCACACAUGUGAGGUUUACGUGAGAAUGCAGGUUUCUCCAGGUCAACAGGUCCCUGCAGCUAACAGCAGGUUCGAUGCCAGCAGCUAACAGAGUAAACACAUGAACACAGCAACAUCUGUCUCUUACUCUGAGGACGUGGUAGCCUUCGGUUCCUCCUCCUGGGAUCUCGACGCUCUGAGAGAGCCCCAUGUUUCCCACGAAUGUGUGUGUGUGUUUGUGUGUGUCGGGGUGUUAGCAGCUGCAGGAAGCGGCUCUCCUCCAGAUCAUGUCCGUAUUGCAGCGCUGUGUUUCCGGCAUGUCCUGACUCCUGACCGCCUCCACUUCCGCUCCUGAGCAGCAGCAGCAGCAUCACAUCUCUGUGGCGGCUCAGUGGCGACAGGACAGCACUUCACUCAUCCUGGUUUAAUUAGAGACAGGUCUGAUCUUUCUUGUUUUGCACAGAUGGAUUGACAGCUGCCUCCAGGGCCCCCUCGCCCUCAGGGGCCUUUUAUAUGCAGACAAUAAUAUCAGGAAAGUUUAGUCAAAUUCUGGUGAUUGUGCAUUUUCCUAAAUAUGUCUUUGUUGUGUUAUUAUCCAGUGACAGACAAUUCUCCGGAUGGAAAGUGAAACAGAUGAGAUAAGAUACGCUUCUGUAUUCUUCUGUUUAUUCUUUUUUUUUUUAUCUUGCCAUUGAAAUGCCAUCACUUCUCAAAAUAACUUCAUGACUUUAUUGCUGUAUCUAGACCCACGUACAUACAUCAAUUUUGACCUGUAUUGUUAAAAAAAUUGUUUUCCAUAAGUUUGGUUUAGUUUUCAGGGCCAUGAAAUGGUUCAGUUUCACCACGUUCCACACUAGAGAUCUGGAAAUGUGUCGAUUCUUAAAUGCAUCACGAUGUGGACUCUGCAACGAUGAAGAGACUCAAUGACUCAUGUUUUCCAGUGACAGUGAAGAUACAUUGACACAAACAUCCCGCUCUGUAAGCCAGGGCAGGAUCAGCGGCGGCUUUUGCGAACGCGCGAUUCAUUUGCAGUCUGGAGGACGCGGAGCGUGGGUCUCCUCUCUGCUCUGACUGCAGCUGGGACUGGUGCGCAAGGCUACUGGGAGACUGACCGACUGUGAGUGCGGAGGGGCUCACGGCAGCACCCGCUGCUCUUUGAGGACAGUAACUGCAGAACGAUAAGUGCUUUCACGUCAGUCUCCAAAACACCAGAAAGUCUCCAAUAUCACCAGAAAAAGUCGCUAGAUUUUUAUUGACAAAAAAAGUCAGGCAAAUUUAUUGUCUUUUUGAGGGCUUUCACAUGCUCAAAUUCUUACCAAAAUUUGCAGAAAAGUUGAGGGUGGUGAAAAUGUAUGGAUUCUGAACCUUUGAACACUUUCACAUUGACUGAUCUUCACAAAAUCUAAAUUAAAUUAAAUAAAUAUUUUUUAAAUUUAAUUAAAUUAAAUUUUUUAAUUAAAUUUAAUAACAAAAUUAAAUUUAAUAAAAUUUUUAAAAAAACUGCGCGUGCACAUCCUGCGCAGAAUCCUACUGCGCACAUUCUGCGCAGAAGACCACUGCGCACAUUCUGCGCAGAAGCCCAUUGCGCACAUUCUGCGCAGAAGCCCACUGCGCACAUUCUGCGCAGAAGCCCACUGCGCAGUUUAAUUUAAAUUAAUUUAAUUUAAAUUAAAUUAUAAUUUUUUUUCUGUUUUUUACUUAAUUAAUUUAAAUAGUGUAAGAUAUUUUGCAAUUAAUAAGUGAUUGAAAUCACUGCCAAUUUUAAGAGUUCAGUAUAAUGCCAGUAUAUAUUUGACAGCCUUUCUUAAAAGUUACUUUUACAGUUAGGUCCAUAAAUAUUUGGACAUUGACCCAAUUUUCCUCAUUUUGGCUCUGUACACCACCACAUUGGAUUUGAAAUGAAACAAUCAAGAUGUGCGUUAAGUGCAUACUUUCAGGUUUAAUUUGAGGAUAUUUACAUCCGAAUCAAGUGAACGGUGUAGGAAUUACAACACAUUUUAUAUGUGGCCCUCCCUUUUUAAGGGACCAAAAGUGAUUGGACAAACUAACAUAAUCAUAAAUGUAAUUGUCACUUUUAAUACUUGGUUGCAAAUCCUUUGCAGUCAAUGACAGCCUGAAGUCUGGUUUGUUGACUUUGACACAGAAACGCCUACCUCCUGGAGAGUGUUCUUGAUCUGGCCAACUGUUGUGAAGGGGUUUUUCUUCACCAGGGAAAUAAUUAUUCUGUCAUCCACCAUAGAUGUCUUCCGGGUCUUUUGGUGUUGCUGAGCUCACCAGUGCAUUCUUUCUUUUUAAGAAUGUACCAAACAGUUGAUUUUGGCCACACCUAAAGUUUUUGCUAUCUCUCUGAUAGGUUUGUUUUGAUUUUUCAGCCUAAUGAUGGCUUGCUUCAUUGAUAGUGACAGCUCUUUGGACUUCAUAAUUAGAGUUGACAGCAACAGAUUCCAAACAAAAAUACUUCACUUGAAAUGAACUCUAGACCUUUUAUCUGCUCCUUGUCAAUGAAAUAACGAGGGAAUAACACACACCUUGCCAUGGAACAGCUGAGCAGCCAAGUGUCCAAUUACUUUUGGUCCCUUAAAAAGGGGGGUGCCACAUAUGAAAUGUGUUGUAAUUCCUACACCGUUCACCUGAUUUGGAUGUAAAUACCCUCAAAUUAAAGCUGAAAGUCUGCACUUAAAGCACAUCUUGAUCGUUUCAUUUAAAAUCCAUUAUGGUGGUGUACAGAGCCAAAAGGAUGAAAAUUGUGUCAAUGUCCAAAUAUUUAUGGACCUAACUGUAUAUUUUAUUAUUAUAGGUGCAUCAUUGUCAACUGUAAAGCCAGUUACAGUUUUUAAGUGGGUCGCAUCAAAAAGUAAUUUCAAGUAAAGCUGAAAAAAAUUAUAAAAUCAAACUAUUCACACAAUGUGCUUCUGUGCCAAUAUCAGCAAACAGCUCGAGAAGGCCGGCCCUGCAGCUUUGAGUAAAGUUAUAAAGAUAUCGAGUAAAGGGAAAGCUACUGCUUGGUCCAUAGCAGCACAAUCAUAAUAACUUGUACAGUAAAGACCAGCAUACUGACACUAUCACGUGUAAUCUGCUGUCUUCAAUCUCCUCAAUGCAGCAUUUAUCUGUCUUCUUCUAUAUGUACGUAGAACCAACCAAGCCGUCAUAUUGCCGCCUGCAUUGCCGGUUGUCAGGUUGGGCGCCAGUAUUCCAGAUCCAGCGGCAUGACGUGUAACAUCCUCAACAAACAAAGUCCAGUACACCACUAUACGGGUCAGGAUGUUUAUAAACAUGAUACAAGAACUUUUUCUCUGAGUGACACAUUUGUUAUGAAGUAUUGAAUAACUAUACUCUCCAGCCAUGGUUUAUUGAGACAUGUCAAAGUUAAAAAGCCUUUCAAAUCAAGCACAUCCGAUUUCUUCAUGAUGACAAAGUUUUUCAUGAGUCACCUUGCAAUAGUGAUGAUUCUACUUGAUUAGAAUUUUCACUUCCGAUGGCGAGUAAUGCCUUGCUCAACAGCACCACAGUGCAGUGAGACAGUCUGACAUUCAAGCCUGGUGCUCACAGAGUUCUGUUUUUGUCUUGUAUUUUUAUUGUCUGGUGUAGUGGAUCUUGAGUGUGUGGAGUGUUGAUUAGAUAUACAGGAUCAGGAGUUUUGGAAGGUGAGUGAUGGCUGUCUCAGCCGUCAUCAUCCUGUCAACACAGCUCAGUAUCGUCAGUGAAAAUCACAGCUUUACUUUUGAAAUGUGUUUAUUUAUUGUUUCAGAUCCUUACUGCUUUUGAUCUGAUUGUACAAUCAAGUCCGAGCAGAACGGAAAGCCAGAGGAGAUGUGAAAGAAUGGAACUGUCUGAGUGAUGGAACAGUGAUAAUAAGGGAUAUCAUCAAUGCUGUGAAGAACACUGGGCUGCAGGAGCAGAUUGAUGUAAAUGUAAUUGAAUAUCUCUAUGGUGCAGCUGCUCUUAUCAAAUAAUUUGAAAUAAACUUGCUCAGUAUUGUGA